AACGCGAAGAACCUUACCUACAUUUGACAUGUCUGGAAUCCUGAAGAGAUUUGGGAGUGCCCGAAAGGGAAUCAGAACACAGGUGCUGCAUGGCUGUCGUCAGCUCGUGUCGUGAGAUGUUGGGUUAAGUCCCGCAACGAGCGCAACCCUUGUCAUUAGUUGCUACGCAAGAGCACUCUAAUGAGACUGCCGGUGACAAACCGGAGGAAGGUGGGGAUGACGUCAAGUCCUCAUGGCCCUUAUGUGUAGGGCUUCACACGUCAUACAAUGGUCGGUACAGAGGGUUGCCAACCCGUGAGGGGGCGCUAAUCCCAGAAAGCCGAUCGUAGUCCGGAUCGCAGUCUGCAACUCGACUGCGUGAAGUCGGAAUCGCUAGUAAUCGCGGAUCAGCAUGUCGCGGUGAAUACGUUCCCGGGUCUUGUACACACCG
rnacentral:rRNA from 1 species